GACGUAGGAGGCGAGCGUUGUCCGGAUUCAUUGGGCGUAAAGAGUGCGCAGGCGGCUUGGUAAGUCGGAUGUGAAAUCCCGAGGCUCAACCUCGGGUCUGCAUCCGAUACUGCCCGGCUAGAGGUAGGUAGGGGAGAUCGGAAUUCCUGGUGUAGCGGUGAAAUGCGCAGAUAUCAGGAGGAACACCGGUGGCGAAGGCGGAUCUCUGGGCCUUACCUGACGCUCAGGCGCGAAAGCUAGGGGAGCGAACUGG
rnacentral:rRNA from 1 species